rnacentral:rRNA from 1 species
AGUGAACGCUGGCGGUAGGCCUAACACAUGCAAGUCGAACGGCAGCACAGUAAGAGCUUGCUCUUACGGGUGGCGAGUGGCGGACGGGUGAGGAAUACAUCGGAAUCUACUUUUUCGUGGGGGAUAACGUAGGGAAACUUACGCUAAUACCGCAUACGACCUACGUGUGAAAGCAGGGGAUCUUCGGACCUUGCGCGAUUGAAUGAGCCGAUGUCGGAUUAGCUAGUUGGCGGGGUAAAGGCCCACCAAGGCGACGAUCCGUAGCUGGUCUGAGAGGAUGAUCAGCCAAACUGGAACUGAGACACGGUCCAGACUCCUACGGGAGGCAGCAGUGGGGAAUAUUGGACAAUGGGCGCAAGCCUGAUCCAGCCAUACCGCGUGGGUGAAGAAGGCCUUCGGGUUGUAAAGCCCUUUGUUGGGAAAGAAAAGCAGCAGGUUAAUACCCCGCUGUUCUGACGGUACCCAAAGAAUAAGCACCGGCUAACUUCGUG